AUUCCUACGGGAGGCAGCAGUGGGGAAUUUUGGACAAUGGGCGCAAGCCUGAUCCAGCCAUGCCGCGUGAGUGAAGAAGGCCUUCGGGUUGUAAAGCUCUUUCGGUCGGGAAGAAAUAGUUAUGGCUAAUAUCCAUAAUGAAUGACGGUACCGACAUAAGAAGCACCGGCUAACUACGUGCCAGCAGCCGCGGUAAUACGUAGGGUGCAAGCGUUAAUCGGAAUUAUUGGGCGUAAAGGGUGCGCAGGCGGAUGUAUAAGUCAGAUGUGAAAUCCCUGGGCUUAACCUGGGAAUUGCGUUUGAAACUAUAUGACUAGAGUGUGGUAGAGGGGAGUGGAAUUCCAUGUGUAGCAGUGAAAUGCGUAGAGAUGUGGAAGAACACCGAUGGCGAAGGCAGCUCCCUGGAUUAACACUGACGCUCAUGCACGAAAGCGUGGGGAGCAAACAGGAUUAGAUACCCUGGUAGUCCACGCCCUAAACGAUGUCAACUAGUUGUCGGAUCUGUUAAAAGAUUUGGUAACGUAGCUAACGCGUGAAGUUGACCGCCUGGGAAGUACGGUCGCAAGAUUAAAACUCAAAGGAAUUGACGGGGACCCGCACAAGCGGUGGAUUAUGUGGAUUAAUUCGAUGCAACGCGAAAAACCUUACCUACCCUUGACAUGCUCGAAAUUCCACAGAGAUGUGGAAGUGCCCGAAAGGG
rnacentral:rRNA from 1 species